rnacentral:rRNA from 1 species
AACGAACGCUGGCGGCAUGCCUAACACAUGCAAGUCGAACGAGACCUUCGGGUCUAGUGGCGCACGGGUGCGUAACGCGUGGGAACCUGCCCUUAGGUUCGGAAUAACUCCCCGAAAGGGGUGCUAAUACCGGAUAAUGUCUUCGGACCAAAGAUUUAUCGCCUUUGGAUGGGCCCGCGUUGGAUUAGCUAGUUGGUAGGGUAAAAGCCUACCAAGGCGACGAUCCAUAGCUGGUCUGAGAGGAUGAUCAGCCACACUGGGACUGAGACACGGCCCAGACUCCUACGGGAGGCAGCAGUGGGGAAUAUUGGACAAUGGGCGAAAGCCUGAUCCAGCAAUGCCGCGUGAGUGAUGAAGGCCUUAGGGUUGUAAAGCUCUUUUACCCGGGAUGAUAAUGACAGUACCGGGAGAAUAAGCUCCGGCUAACCCCGUGC